AGUACACAUACCUGCCGACCAAAGGAGCUUCAAGCAGAGGGAAGGGAUCCCUCUCGUACCGACGACACAGGAAUACCUAGCGAUAUAUCAGUCGUUGUUCCGAGAAUGUAUUUGCUACGAAAGCCGCACCCUCUCAUCAUCAUGGCAUUGUUGCAACUGUUGGUGGUGGCUACAGAUGGCAUUCAGCCGUUCGCCUACAAGUGUCCAGCUGGUUUAUGUGAAACACCAAGUGCCUCGUUCAAGGGUGGAUGUGAGUAUGACAAAAAUUGCAUCGAAGCUUGUCGUCAUGAGGGUUGGAAAACUGGCUUUUGUACAGAAGCAUUCUUGAUAGUGCAAAGCAAAUGCAAAUGUUGUAAACCGUGCGAAUGUUGUAAGCCGUGCAGACUGUUGUAAGCAAAUGCAAAUAUUUUGCUUACCAAUAGGUUAUUUUAUCGUUU